rnacentral:rRNA from 1 species
AUUGAACGCUGGCGGCAUGCCUUACACAUGCAAGUCGAACGGUAACAGGUCUUCGGAUGCUGACGAGUGGCGAACGGGUGAGUAAUACAUCGGAACGUGCCUAGUAGUGGGGGAUAACUACUCGAAAGAGUGGCUAAUACCGCAUGAGAUCUACGGAUGAAAGCAGGGGAUCGCAAGACCUUGUGCUACUAGAGCGGACGAUGGCAGAUUAGGUAGUUGGUGGGAUAAAAGCUUACCAAGCCGACGAUCUGUAGCUGGUCUGAGAGGACGAUCAGCCACACUGGGACUGAGAAACGGCCCAGACUCCUACGGGAGGCAGCAGUGGGGAAUUUUGGACAAUGGGCGCAAGCCUGAUCCAGCAAUGCCGCGUGCAGGAUGAAGGCCUUCGGGUUGUAAACUGCUUUUGUACGGAACGAAAAGCCCCGGGUUAAUACCCUGGGGUCAUGGCGGUACCGUAAGAAUAAGCACCGGCUAACUACGUGCCAGCAGCCGCCGUAA